ACAGGACGGCAGCAGAAGGAACACAAACCAGCAGACGACAAAGCACAGAGCAGAGUUCUGAACAGACGGGUUCAGGAAAAGAACCUGAUGGAGGAACCCAGUGGAACCCAGUGGAACCCAGUGGAACCCAGUGGACCAGCAGAACCUGGCUGAGGCCCAGAGGAGCUGCUGUCCACUGCAGCUCAGACUGGACCCACUGGUGUUGGAACACCCCCAUGGACAGGGUUCACAGCAGACCCAGGUUUUUGUAUGAGGGGAUCUCACUGUGGGAGGAUCUGGUGGUUCCAACAAGUACAUGAUAUUUGGCUCCGGCACACAUCUCUACAUAACAAAUGACCGAGUGAAGAAGCCCACGGUGGGCGUGUACCCGCUGGCGUCCUCCGCCCACCCAGAGGGGAGGGGCUCCCUGCUGUGCGUGGCCUCGGACAUGUUUCCUCCUCUGGUCCGCUUCUCCUGGAAGAGACAGAAGGAGGGCGGAGCUGUGGAGGAGCUGCCUGACGCCAAGGGAGAACAGCUGGAGGUCAGAGCGGGGGGGCACGUCGCCACCAUCCGGGUGGUGGACCGGGACCCCGUCCACUCAUAUAAAUACUGGUGCUCGGUCCACCACGAAGGGAAACCAGUCCAGCACGAAAAGGAAAUAGAGGCUCCCAAACAACAAGAGGUGGCAGCCGGAGGCCGUCCAGGUCCACAUGUGAGGCCCUGGGACCAGGAGAGGCUCCUCUGUCUGAUGUACACGGUGCUGAUGGGGAAGAGUCUGGUCUACAGCUGUGGACUGGGUCUGAUCAACCUCACAAGACCAAGGACCGUCCACCGUCCAUGAGGAACCUCUCAACCUUCACCACCUGUCAACGGCACUGGGAACAUUUACAUUUACAGGCAAAUCAGCAAGAACAUCCAAUGGGUCAAAAAAGAAAUAAAACACCCAAAAACAUCCAAUGGAUCCAAAAUUAAAAAAAAUGUCAAAUGGAUCAAAAUUAAAAUAAAAAUAAAAAAUAAAAAAAGCAUCCAAUGGAUCCAAAAUAAAAAACAUCCAAUAGAAUACUGAUACAUAUUGUUUUCUUCGUGCAUAAUAAUGGAAAAUUGAAAUAUUUCCACGUACCUUCAGUUUCUCAAAUGUACUCCAGCUUCACACCAGGCAUCAUUUACAUCAAAGCUAUUUAGAAUAAGCCUAAAAAAAAAUAAAAUAAAAUAAAACUAAACUAAAAAUACUCAUACAAUAAAAUUACUGAAUAAAAAUAAAAUAAAACUACUGUAAAAAAAAAAAAAAAAAAAAAGUAAAAUAAAUUGUAAAUGUGCAAUAAAAUAAAUAAAUAACCAAAAUAAAAAUAAAAUAAACAAAAUUAUUUUAAUUAAAAUAAAAUCUGUAUUAAAAUAAAUACAUGAAUCAAAGAAA
rnacentral:lncRNA from 1 species